UACGUAGGGUGCAAGCGUUAAUCGGAAUUACUGGGCGUAAAGCGUGCGCAGGCGGUUGUGCAAGACAGAUGUGAAAUCCCCGGGCUCAACCUGGGAAUUGCAUUUGUGACUGCACGGCUAGAGUGUGUCAGAGGGGGGUAGAAUUCCACGUGUAGCAGUGAAAUGCGUAGAGAUGUGGAGGAAUACCGAUGGCGAAAGGCAGCCCCCCUGGGAUAACACUGACGCUCAUGCACGAAAGGCGUGGGGAGCAAACAGG
rnacentral:rRNA from 1 species